rnacentral:lncRNA from 1 species
CCCACUGGCCAACAGAACUACUGGCGAGACAAGUACCACCACGGAGUCACCGUCAUCCAGGAGCACCAGCAGCGCAUUGACCAUCUUGAAGCGCUCCUUGCCGAGUAUGAGGAUGAUGAUGGCUCAGACCCGCCCGACAGUGAGCCCAACGAUAACCUAACCCUCCCCCAGCAGCGCCGCCGACUGCGACGCCUGCAGCGAGCUCCGGAAGCGAACCAACUCCACCACCAAGCAAUGGACACUGAUCAUGGCCCCGAGGACGGAGCCUAGAUCAAGCAGGGGGCAGUGGAAACCUCCCCUAACACAUGCACGCCCAGGAGCAGCUACACUCACGACUGAAAGCCAGGUUCAAACGGCUACUAGUUUAUUU